CUCACUGUGAAAAUCACAGUGAGAGCACGUAAGUGUCCAUAGGAAAGCAUUGAUAAUGCUUUCCUAUGUGACCGGCUGAAUGCGCACACAGCUCUUGCCGCGUGUGCGCAUUCAGCCGAAUAAGAGGAGGAGAGCUCCCCGCCCAGCGCUGGAGAAAGGUAAAUUUUUACCCCCUUCCAGAGCCGGGUGGGAGGGCACUAUAGUGCCAGGAAAACAAGUAUGUAUUCCUGGCACUAUAGUGGUCCUUUAAUGAGGUACUGAUUAGGUGAUCACCUGAACCAAAAUCUUAUUUAAAUGGAUUCUAUAGUGUUAGGAAUACAAAUCUGUACUCUUAAUGCUAUAGUGCCCCAUGCCCCCUCCCCCCCCCCAGUAUAGAAAGGUUAAUGGUUAGAAAAAAACUUUAUUUUUCAAACCCGACACCAGCACCUGUGAGGAUCGUCGCUACGCCUUUAACGUAAUCCUAUGGGUGGGGGGACCUAACAGGAGCCUCAAUGCUUUCCUAUGGAGAUUUCACUGACAGUGGGUGUCCUCAUGUAGAGCGUCAGGACAUCCAGCUUUGUUUAAGUGACUUAGAGUUCGUUAGAAUCACAGAAGCGAUCUUAGUGGCUGUGCAUAGUAAUUAUUGCAGUUUCGCAAGAAUUGCAAUGUUUUACAUUCCAGGACAAAGUGGGACAGGGACACUGCACCCAGACCACUUCAAUGAGCUGAAGUAAUCUGGGUGCCUAUAACGUCCCUUUAAUGAGCAAAAGAACUGGCUGGAUGGAAAAAACAGUGUUAGUAGUACCACAGUAUUUAGAAUAACAAAAAUGUCUACUGACCAUGAAAAAGAUGGAAAGAAAGGUCUUGAGUGAGGAAAAGAUGGGUUUAAUUUUAAUUUUACUGGCAUUGGGAAACAGAGAGCCAGGUUUCUUCCAUCCUUGAUAUUUCAAAGACCGCAGUUCUUAAGAACAAAGUCAAGCAGCAGCAUUGGGGAUAACAGUGGUACAGACCUGCAUAGGGCAAAAAAGACUACGCUGACCGGAAUGACUGCCAACUUAUUCAAAUGUGACACAGCAACCAUAGGAUGACAUCAAGUCACCAACAAAAAGAAUGACAAAUCGCAGCUAGGGUGAAGUGCACUAUGAGGGUGAAUUGAAGUUGUGGAAGACUAGAAGAAAAGCCCUUGGUAAAUAAGAAGCAAAAAGAGCCAUUCUGAGGUUCAACCAUCGACUGUUGGAAUAAAGUCAUAUUCUCAGAUGAGUCCAAUUUCCUGCUUUGCCCUUAACAUUGUCGUCUAAUGGUUAAACCCAGGCCUGGAGAGGCCUACAAGCCACAGUGUUUUGUGGGAGGAUUGGUGAUGUUUUAAGUGGGAUUCAGCAUGCUGGAAUUGGGC